UUUUAGCCCCGAUUGCAGUGAAAAUCCUUAUGGAUCGUCUCGUCCCAAAAGACGAGACGAUCCAUAAGAUUGCAACGGAAAGCGGGACGAUGC
rnacentral:sRNA from 1 species